rnacentral:sRNA from 2 species
CCAAUAGACAGCUAGGGUUCCGGUCGGUCACAAGCCGAUGCCUGGUCCGAGAGCGGUCGACCUUCUUGCAAGGUUACACGGCGGGACAAAAGCCCGGGAGGA